rnacentral:rRNA from 3 species
UUAAGUUAUUAAGGGCGCACGGUGGAUGCCUUGGCACUAGAAGCCGAUGAAGGACGUUACUAACGACGAUAUGCUUUGGGGAGCUGUAAGUAAGCUUUGAUCCAGAGAUUUCCGAAUGGGGAAACCCAGCAUGAGUUAUGUCAUGUUAUCGAUAUGUGAAUACAUAGCAUAUCAGAAGGCACACCCGGAGAACUGAAACAUCUUAGUACCCGGAGGAAGAGAAAGAAAAUUCGAUUCCCUUAGUAGCGGCGAGCGAAACGGGAAGAGCCCAAACCAAAAAGCUUGCUUGUUGGGGUUGUAGGACACUCUAUACGGAGUUACAAAGGACGACAUUAGACGAAUCAUCUGGAAAGAUGAAUCAAAGAAGGUAAUAAUCCUGUAGUCGAAAAUGUUGUCUCUCUUGAGUGGAUCCUGAGUACGACGGAGCACGUGAAAUUCCGUCGGAAUCUGGGAGGACCAUCUCCUAAGGCUAAAUACUCUCUAGUGACCGAUAGUGAACCAGUACCGUGAGGGAAAGGUGAAAAGCACCCCGGAAGGGGAGUGAAAUAGAACCUGAAACCGUGUGCUUACAAGUAGUCAGAGCCCGUUAAUGGGUGAUGGCGUGCCUUUUGUAGAAUGAACCGGCGAGUUACGAUUUGAUGCAAGGUUAAGCAGUAAAUGUGGAGCCGUAGCGAAAGCGAGUCUGAAUAGGGCGUUUAGUAUUUGGUCGUAGACCCGAAACCAGGUGAUCUACCCUUGGUCAGGUUGAAGUUCAGGUAACACUGAAUGGAGGACCGAACCGACUUACGUUGAAAAGUGAGCGGAUGAACUGAGGGUAGCGGAGAAAUUCCAAUCGAACCUGGAGAUAGCUGGUUCUCUCCGAAAUAGCUUUAGGGCUAGCCUCAAGUGAUGAUUAUUGGAGGUAGAGCACUGUUUGGACGAGGGGCCCCUCUCGGGUUACCGAAUUCAGACAAACUCCGAAUGCCAAUUAAUUUAACUUGGGAGUCAGAACAUGGGUGAUAAGGUCCGUGUUCGAAAGGGAAACAGCCCAGACCACCAGCUAAGGUCCCAAAAUAUAUGUUAAGUGGAAAAGGAUGUGGCGUUGCCCAGACAACUAGGAUGUUGGCUUAGAAGCAGCCAUCAUUUAAAGAGUGCGUAAUAGCUCACUAGUCGAGUGACACUGCGCCGAAAAUGUACCGGGGCUAAACAUAUUACCGAAGCUGUGGAUUGUCCUUUGGACAAUGGUAGGAGAGCGUUCUAAGGGCGUUGAAGCAUGAUCGUAAGGACAUGUGGAGCGCUUAGAAGUGAGAAUGCCGGUGUGAGUAGCGAAAGACGGGUGAGAAUCCCGUCCACCGAUUGACUAAGGUUUCCAGAGGAAGGCUCGUCCGCUCUGGGUUAGUCGGGUCCUAAGCUGAGGCCGACAGGCGUAGGCGAUGGAUAACAGGUUGAUAUUCCUGUACCACCUAUAAUCGUUUUAAUCGAUGGGGGGACGCAGUAGGAUAGGCGAAGCGUGCGAUUGGAUUGCACGUCUAAGCAGUAAGGCUGAGUAUUAGGCAAAUCCGGUACUCGUUAAGGCUGAGCUGUGAUGGGGAGAAGACAUUGAGUCUUCGAGUCGUUGAUUUCACACUGCCGAGAAAAGCCUCUAGAUAGAAAAUAGGUGCCCGUACCGCAAACCGACACAGGUAGUCAAGAUGAGAA